CUUUCAGGACGCAACCAUGAGCGGAGUGCAGCCCUGCUCCGCGCCCCGUCAAAGAGGACUGCGGCAGCUUCAUCUUCACUAUAAAGAUGUGAAGUCACCACCGCCUACGAUAGAUGACUAACUUCUGGAGUUCAGUGUGGACCUUAAGCAGCUGCAGAAGUCCUGAUUUGGUCAAAGGAGAUGCACCUCUGCUGACCAAGAGAUGUGAAGUCACCACUGCCUACGACGGAUGGCAAACUGCUGGUUUUCACCGUGUGGACCUUAAGUUUCAGAAGUCCUAAUGGCCAACUACUGGUUCACGGAUGGUCCUUAAGCAGCUUCAGAAGACCUGUGGUCAAAGAUGCACCUGAGCUGAUCAAGAGAUGUGAAGUCGCCACCGCCUACGACAGAUGACUAACUUCUGGUUUUCACCGUGUGGACCCAGCUUCAGAAGUCCUGAUGGCCAACUACUGGUGUCCAGUGGUGGUCUUUAAGAAGUCCUUCUGUGGUCAAAGAUGCAGCUGACUUGAUCCUGUACUGAUCAGGAGGUGAGUUCUUGCUACACUUGGUUAUACUGCUGUUUAUUCCACUGGAAACCAUUUAAGUUUAAUACAAUUACUGUUAGAAAUUACUUUCGAAACAUUGAGUACUGGCAACUUCUGCAGCUGGAAUAGUGAUGAGGAUUACCCUUUGCCGUUUACCCGUCAGACAAUAGAAUGGUGAGAUUGUGUCUUCUGAAUUACCAGCUGCAGCAUACAGACAUAGCUCUGUAUUUUCCUUUUUGCGUGCCUCCUAAAGGUGCAUCUAUUCCAGGAAUUGUACUGUGACUUAAAAAAACUAAGUUGGUGUUUUUUAUUUUUGUAGAGUUGCUGGAGCUGUUGGAUCAUCAGUUGAAAAGUUAAUAAAGCCGUUUUCAAGAAAGAUG